rnacentral:rRNA from 1 species
CCUGGUGAUUAUAGCGAAGGGGUCACACCUAUUCCCAUCCCGAACAUAGAAGUUAAGUCCUUCAGCGCCAAUGGUACUUGGAUUCGUCCUGGGAGAGUAGGACAUUGCCGGGC